CAGCCACAGGUCCCUUCCCCGUCCAGGGGGCAAGCUGAUAGUGUGGGUGAUGGAGAGGGCUUCCCCUCCAAGGCCCCGGACAGCCAAGGCCCUCCUGCUGGUCUGGGAUUGGGGACCCUCCCCCCACGCCCUCUCAGGCCCCAGACCAGAGAGAAUGAGCUGCCUGAACAGACUCAACUCCAAGCUGGCAGCCGCCCAGCCUUGCACCAAGUCUCUUCCACACGGCAAAUUCAGCGACUUGGAGGGUUCCAUGUCCAGCUGCAUUUGGGACAGGGAAGCUGAGGCCCAGAGAGGAUUCAGAAAAUGCAGACCAUAUCCACCCCCAACACUACCUGCCCAGCCUGGAAGCACAGGAGUCAUUCUCUUGGAGGGUGAGAGAGGGCAAUUCCACUCUGGGUAAGAAAGUCAUCACAAGAAGGUGCAUCUGGGUGGAAUUACAGCAUGCAAAACUUCCCUAACCAGGGAUCGAACCUAUGCCCUCUGCAGUGGAAGCAUGGAAUCUUAACCACUGGAUUUCCAGGGAAGUCCUGCAUAACUUAUUUCUGUGCAGACCUCAGAAUAAAGCUUCUCCUGACACUUCUACCAAGAUGUUAAAACUCUUACCAUUUGCCUCUGCAUGUCUAUGAAGUGCAGUAUUUUCUAAUUACUGACUAAAAGAAACUGCCGCAGAAAUAAAUUGAAUGCUGGCUCUCAGUUAAAACCAUAACCAUCACCUGUAAUUCAGGGUUUCAAAUUUUUAGUCCAUCAAAAUGUCGGCAUUGUUCCCACGGAAUUAUUUUGUGGUAAGUAAAGGGUAUACAUUUUGAUUGACAAAAAUAAAUUUAUAUGUAAAAGCACUGA